UACAGAGGUCUCAAGCGUUGUUCGGAUUCAUUGGGCGUAAAGGGUGCGUAGGUGGCGCGCUAAGUCAGGUGUGAAAUUUCGGAGCUUAACUCCGAAACUGCAUUCGAUACUGCCGUGCUUGAGGACUUGAGAGGAGACUGGAAUUUACGGUGUAGCAGUGAAAUGCGUAGAGAUCGUAAGGAAGACCAGUGGCGAAGGCGAAUCUCUGGACAGUUACUGACACUGAGGCACGAAGGCCAGGGGAGCAAACGGG
rnacentral:rRNA from 1 species